CCAGUCACCCGCAAUCCCCUGCGUUGCGCGACGUGCCCCCGGCUCUGCGGGGUGCAGGCCCCUCUGGUCUCCAGGCUGAGCCGUGCCAGGCAGGGGAUCUCCAGGCAGGGCAACCGGGACUCCAGCUCCUCUCUGGAAGGGAAAACCGGAGUCAUCAACACUCCAGCUCAGGCCGGCAACCGGAACUCCAGCGCCUCUCUGGAAG